GAAAAGAAACCAACAGGGAUUGCCUCAGUAACGGCGAGUGAAGCGGCAACAGCUCAAAUUUGAAAUCUGGUCCUUUUAGGUCCCGAAUUGUAAUUUGUAGAAGAUGCUUCGGGUGUGGCUCCGGUCUAAGUCCCUUGGAACAGGGCGUCAUAGAGGGUGAGAAUCCCGUAUGUGACUGGCUGCCUCCGCCCAUGUGAAGCUCUUUCGACGAGUCGAGUUGUUUGGGAAUGCAGCUCAAAAUGGGUGGUAAAUUUCAUCUAAAGCUAAAUAUUGGCCAGAGACCGAUAGCGCACAAGUAGAGUGAUCGAAAGAUGAAAAGCACUUUGGAAAGAGAGUUAAACAGUACGUGAAAUUGUUGAAAGGGAAGCGCUUGCAAUCAGACUUGCGCGCCGUUGAUCAUCCCCGGUUCUCCGGGGUGCACUCGGCGGCGCUCAGGCCAGCAUCGGUUUCGGUGGUUGGAUAAAGACCUUGGGAAUGUGGCUCCUCUCGGGGAGUGUUAUAGCCCAGGGUGCAAUGCAGCCUACCGGGACCGAGGACCGCGCUUCGGCUAGGAUGCUGGCGUAAUGGUUGUAAGCGACCCGUCUUGAAACACGGACCAAGGAGUCUAACACUUAUGCGAGUGUUUGGGUGUUAAACCCAUACGCGUAAUGAAAGUGAACGGAGGUGAGAACCCUUAAGGGUGCAUCAUCGACCGGUCCUGAAGUUUACGGACGGAUCUGAGUAAGAGCAUAAUUGUUGGGACCCGAAAGAUGGUGAACUAUGCCUGAAUAGGGUGAAGCCAGAGGAAACUCUGGUGGAGGCUCGCAGCGGUUCUGACGUGCAAAUCGAUCGUCAAAUUUGGGUAUAGGGGCGAAAGACU
rnacentral:rRNA from 1 species